rnacentral:rRNA from 1 species
CAGCCGCCGCGGUAAUACAGAGGGUGCAAGCGUUAAUCGGAAUUACUGGGCGUAAAGCGUGCGUAGGUGGUGGUUUAAGUCCGUUGUGAAAGCCCUGGGCUCAACCUGGGAAUUGCAGUGGAUACUGGGUCACUAGAGUGUGGUAGAGGAUAGUGGAAUUUCCGGUGUAGCAGUGAAAUGCGUAGAGAUCGGAAGGAACAUCUGUGGCGAAGGCGACUAUCUGGGCCAACACUGACACUGAGGCACGAAAGCGUGGGGAGCAAACAGAAUUAGAUACCCGCGUAGUCCCUGUCUCUUAUAC